ACUCAAAUGAAUAGACGGGGACCCGCACAAGCAGCGGAGCGUGUGGUUUAAUUCGAUGCGACGCGCAAAACCUUACCUGGGCUUGACACGUGUUCGCAAGCCUGUGAAAGCAGGCCCUCCGCAAGGACGGACACACAGGUGUUGCAUGGCUGUCGUCAGCUCGUGUCGUGAGAUGUUGGGUUAAGUCCCGCAACGAGCGCAACCCUCGUCUUUAGUUGAAUGUCUAAAGAGACUGCCGGAAACAAACCGGAGGAAGGUGGGGAUGAUGUCAAGUCAGCAUGACCCUUACGUCCAGGGCUACACACACGCUACAAUGGACCGUACAACGAGAAAGGCGUGAGCCGGCCACCCAGCGAUGGGGAGCAGACCUCCAAAAGCGGUCCUCAGUUCAGAUUGCAGUCUGCAACCCGACUGCAUGAAGGCGGAGUUGCUAGUAACCGCGUGACAGCACAGCGCGGUGAAUAUGUUCCCGGGUCUUGCACACACCGCCCGU
rnacentral:rRNA from 1 species